AAAAAAUAAUGACAUGGCUAGUUAAAGCCCCUAAAGGAUUGCUCAGUGAUAAAAGAGUGUAGGAGUGCAGAAAUAGCCAAAAGGUUUACCUAGUUACAGCCACCCUUGAAAGAGUGUGUAAUAGCUCACGAUCGAGUGCUCUUGCUCUGAAGAUGAAAGGGGCUAAGCGAUAUACUGAAAUUGUUAGAUGUAAAAAUAAAUCGGUAGAGGAGCGUUCUACCUUAGAAGGAAGCUCCGCGCGAGCACUGAUGGGACGAAGCGGAAGGGAGAAUGCCGACUUGAGUAACGCAAACAUUGGUGAAAAUCCAAUGCCCUGAAAACCAAAGGGUUCAUCCGCAAAGUUCGUCCAUGAAGGGUAAGUUGUAAGAUUAAGGUGAAAGGUGUGGUCGAUGGACAACAGAUGAAUAUUCAUGUACUACCCCUUAUUGGUCCCGAGGGACGGAGGAUGCUAGGUUAGCCGAAAGCUGGUUAUCGGUUCAAGAACGUAAGGUGCCCUUGCUUUUUUAGGGUAAGAAGAGGUGGAAAAAAUGCCUCGAGUCCUAAUAGAAACCAAAGAUC
rnacentral:lncRNA from 1 species